ACUGUGUACCAGACACUGUACCUAAUGCUUUUCUUGGAAUGUCCCAUUUUACAGAUGAGGAAACUGAGCUAAGACAUCAUCUCCUAAGGUUAGGUGGUAAUUGAAUGAGAUAACAUGUAAAGCUCUCAAUAGAGUGCCUGGGUCACAUGAACCGCUCCACCAAUCUUAGCCGUUAGUGUCAUCAAUGAGAGGAGGCUGGAUCCAAAUUGAAAGGCCAGGAGCAUCAUGCAGAGUCUGGGCUUCAGCCUAUAGGCAGUGAGAGCCCUGGAAGAUUUUGCCAAGUGAAUGCUCAGGUGGGACCUUGUUUAAGAAACUUGGCCGGGCACAGUGGC
rnacentral:lncRNA from 10 species